rnacentral:rRNA from 1 species
UACGGAGGGGGCUAGCGUUGUUCGGAAUUACUGGGCGUAAAGCGCACGUAGGCGGCUUUGUAAGUUAGAGGUGAAAGCCCGGAGCUCAACUUCGGAAUUGCCUUUAAGACUGCAUCGCUAGAAUCAUGGAGAGGUCAGUGGAAUUCCGAGUGUAGAGGUGAAAUUCGUAGAUAUUCGGAAGAACACCAGUGGCGAAGGCGACUGACUGGACAUGUAUUGACGCUGAGGUGCGAAAGCGUGGGGAGCAAACAGG